rnacentral:rRNA from 1 species
UUGGAGGGCAAGUCUGGUGCCAGCAGCCGCGGUAAUUCCAGCUCCAAUGGCGUAUAUUAAAGUUGUUGCAGUUAAAAAGCUCGUAGUUGAAUUUCGGGGUUCUUCCGUUGGUCAGGCUAACAAGUCUGUACUAGCGUGUAGAAUCUCUACCUUCUGGGGAACCAUCAUGUUAUUAAUUUAGCGUGGUGGGAAACCAGGACCUUUACCUUGAAAAAAUUAGAGUGUUCAAAGCAGGCUUACGUCUGAAUACAUUAGCAUGGAAUAAUAAAAUAGGACGGUGGU